UCGGCGAGCGCGCCCGGGCGGCGGCGGAGGGGACCAGUCCGGGUCCCCGGCCCGCGGAGCGGUAGUUAGAAGAGCCCUCGGGGUCCCCGGGAUCCCGGCCCACCGACCGCGUGGAAGCGGGGUGCGCGGCGGGCAGGAAGGAUGGAGAAUCCACGCCGCGCGCGGAGGCCCGCCUCGAGGAGGGAAGCCGGGGCCGUGCGCUCCCGCAGAACACCUGGUUGGUUAAGGGAGAGAUGAGUUGUUCAGGAACAAAAGCGUGUGUCUAUGGAGUGGGUGCGGGGACAGCCGGCCCCACUGAGAGGAAUCGGCUGCCCUGGGGAGACCUGAAGACCGGCAGAAGGGAGAAAAGCAAACGGCCCCCAAUCCUUGGAUGGGAUCCCCCUCCUGCCUGUCGGAGUUAUCCAAGGUUGCGCUUUUGAACCUCAGGCAUCCGGCUCGCAUCCCUCAGGAAUGGUUCCGCCAGAGAAUCGGUCCUGUUUGCGUCUGCGCCUCGUGUCUGAAAGGCAGCCACCUCGGCCCGAGCUUCUCAGACCUUGGAUGCCAAAAGUGCGGGUGUACAUCGGCUGCAUCGGGAGGGUGAUUCAAAUAAAGCAGCACUCCCCAUUGUUUUAAUUGUUUAGGAGUCCAAAAAUUUAUUUAGAAUUGUUACAUGAUAGAGGGCGUGAUUUGUAUGUUUAACAAAAGAACACGUGUUAAUAAAAGAAAAAGAGGUGAUAAA